UGGGGAAUAUUGCACAAUGGAGGAAACUCUGAUGCAGCGACGCCGCGUGAAGGAAGAAGGUCUUCGGAUUGUAAACUUCUGUUGUCAGGGACGAUAAUGACGGUACCUGACGAGAAAGCCACGGCUAACUACGUGCCAGCAGCCGCGGUAAAACGUAGGUGGCAAGCGUUGUCCGGAAUUACUGGGUGUAAAGGGAGCGCAGGCGGAUUGGUAAGUUGGAGGUGAAAUUCAUGGGCUCAACCCAUGACCUGCCUUCAAAACUAUCAGUCUUGAGUGGUGCAGAGGUAGGCGGAAUUCCCGGUGUAGCGGUGGAAUGCGUAGAUAUCGGGAGGAACACCAGUGGCGAAGGCGGCCUACUGGGCACUAACUGACGCUGAGGCUCGAAAGCAUGGGUAGCAAACA
rnacentral:rRNA from 1 species